AUUGAACGCUGGCGGCAGGCCUAACACAUGCAAGUCGAGCGGAUGAAGGGAGCUUGCUCCUGGAUUCAGCGGCGGACGGGUGAGUAAUGCCUAGGAAUCUGCCUGGUAGUGGGGUAUAACGUCCGGAAACGGGCGCUAAUACCGCAUACGUCCUGAUGGAGAAAGUGGGGGAUCUUCGGACCUCACGCUAUCAUAUGUGCCUAGGUCGGAUUAGCUAGUUGGUGAGGUAAAGGCCUACCAAGGCGACGAUCCGUAACUGGUCUGAGAGGAUGAUCAGUCAAACUGGAACUGAGACACGGUCCAGAGUACUACGGGAGGCAGCAGUGGGGAAUAUUGGACAAUGGGCGAAAGCAUGAUCCAGCCAUGCCGCGUGUGUGAAGAAGGUCUUCGGAUUGUAAAGCACUUUAAGUUGGGAGGAAGGGCAGUAAGUUAAUACCUUGCUGUUUUGACGUUACCAACAGAAUAAGCACCGGCUAACUUCGUG
rnacentral:rRNA from 1 species